UGAAUACGAGAUGCUACGGCGUCGAAGCAGUGUAUGUCAGACUUCCAAGAAAAGCUCGCAAUGUCAUAAAUAAAGAAUGCCUGUACCAUAACCGACACAGGUGGGUAGGUAGAGUAUACUAAGGGGCGCGAGAUAACUCUCUCUAAGGAACUCGGCAAAAUAACUCCGUAACUUCGGGAGAAGGAGUGCCUUCUAUUAGAAGGUUGCAAUAACAAGAUCCAAGCAACUGUUUAUCAAAAACACAGGUCUCCGCUAAGUCGUAAGACGAUGUAUGGGGGCUGACGCCUGCCCAGUGCCAGAAGGUUAAAGAAGUUGGUUAGCUUUGGCGAAGCUGAUGACUGAAGCCCUGGUGAACGGCGGCCGUAACAAUAACGGUCCUAAGGUAGCGAAAUUCCUUGUCGGGUAAGUUCCGACCCGCACGAAAGGCGUAAUGAUUUGGAUACUGUCUCGGAGAGGGACUCGGUGAAAUAGACUUGUCUGUGAAGAUGCGGACUACCUGCACCAGGACAGAAAGACCCUAUGAAGCUUUACUGUAACUUGAAAUUGAAAUUGGACUUUAUUUGCGCAGCAUAGGUGGAAGGCGUUGAGAUUACUCUUGCGGGAGUACUGGAGCCAUCAGUGAGAUACCACUCCUAUAAUGUUAGAUUUCUAACUUUGGAUCAUGAUCUGGUCAAAGAACAGUUUCAGGCGGGCAGUUUGACUGGGGCGGUCGCCUCCCAAAUGGUAACGGAGGCGUACAAAGGUUUCCUCUGAACGGGUAGAAAUCGUAUCUAGAGUGUAAAGGCAUAAGGAAGCUUGACUGUGAGACCUACAAGUCGAGCAGGGACGAAAGUCGGUCUUAGUGAUCUGACGGUGCUGAGUGGAAAGGCCGUCACUCAACGGAUAAAAGUUACUCUAGGAUAACAGGCUGAUCUCCCCCAAGAGUUCACAUCGACGGGGAGGUUUGGCACCUCGAUGUCGGCUCAUCGCAUCCUGGGGCGGUAGUACGUCCCAAGGGUUGGGCUGUUCGCCCAUGAAAGCGGUACGCGAGCUGGGUUCAGAACGUCGUGAGACAGUUCGGUCCAUAUCCGGUGUAGGCGUUAGAAUAUUGAGAGGAGCCUUCUUUAGUACGAGAGGACCGAGAAGGACAUACCUCUGGUGUACCAGUUAUCGUGCCAACGGUAAACGCUGGGUAGCUAUGUAUGGAGAGGAUAACCGCUGAAAGCAUCUUAGUGGGAAGCCCACCUCAAGAUGAG
rnacentral:rRNA from 1 species